rnacentral:lncRNA from 1 species
GAGAAGAUACGUAUGCAUAGGAUGCGACAUCCUAGCGAGCACGUUUCCCCCUGUCCCGAACUACGUCAACUCUGAUGUCUGUGCCUGACAAACUACGUAGGCCCAGGAUGCGAUAUCCUGCCAAGUUAGUUUCUUUUGUUUUCUGUGUCUCUUUUCAGCCAGUGUUUGAUGUUUGAGCAGUUUUUUUAGCAACCUUUAUCCUUCCUUUUGUGCGUGGAUCCCGUCGAGUACGACGGAUGCGUAGGGGUG